AUCAGUAACCAUAUAAAAGCUGUUUUAUUCUACAUGGAGGGUCCCCUCAUGGGGGCUGUCAUGUUGGGAUCACAUGACCAGCUGAAUACUACUCACUUAACCCCAGUAACUGCUUUAUAUUGGACACUUUCACUCAUGGAUUAAAUUAAUCAUGGCUGAGCCGAGUAUCACAGCCGAGUUGACUUUUCAAAGGACUGUGAAUGUUGAAAGGCAGCUUGAUGCGGAUGCUUGCCAAGAGGCAAUGUCUUUGCUCAACCAUACCACAGACAAUUCCCUGAUUUUCCAGAAGAUGAGAGACCUUUCAGCACCGUCAUAAGCUUGUUAAUGACCCAGGCAGAAGUGUUCAUAUCCUCUCCACCUUCCCAAAAUUCCUGGAUACUAAAGGAUUGGUGGAUCAAGACUUCACUCUCCUAUAUGAUGAAGAGACAUCCUCCAGGCUGCUUCAGAAAUGGGAUGUGUUCUUCAAGCCAAAUGUCAUAAAAGAGGCUAAGCGGCUCACUUCAACACCAGAGUUGCGUCGCUUGGUACAGUCAGCUGAAAGUCCCCCAGGAAGCGAUCUUGAUGAGGCAACAAAUAAAUCUCCUUCCACCAACACCAGGAGAACUGAAGUCUCCAAAAAUUAGUGUGUGAUGCAGUUGAAAGACUUGUAGUCUUUCAUAAGUCAUGCUGCAGUUUGGAGGAGCAUCUCUGCCACCAGGAGGGUCAGCAGGCGUACCUCGUCACUGCUGGGCAUCAGAAGAGCAAGAUUGACAGCUUCUACAUCACCAUGGAUAAGCAUCUCAUCCCAUUCUAGGCAAACAGCUUCCUCGGGGCAUUUGAUGAACUUUUCAAAGCAAAUUUUGUGUUUAAUUUGUCUUAUGAUGUUGCAUUCAAAACAUGAUAUUCAAAGCUCAUACAACAUCACAAAUGAAAGUUUGUACAUUAUACCUUCAUUCAUAAUUUUUAAUUCAACUGUAUGGAUGACUGCAUGGG